UGAUAAUUCCCACAUCUGAGUCAUCUCAAGUUAUUUUUGGCAGAUUUUGAUGGAUGUACAUUGAUGGAUAGCCACGUGGAUCCAGAAAAUAAAGACUUCUACUCUGCAUUUGACUAAAGCAGAAGAUAUGCAAGGAAGCUCAGUCUCUCAAUUGAGUGGAUUCUGAAAUUUAUCCUGUUGUCUUCAGCUACUAAGGCUAAUUUGCAAAUCACACUGUGCACGGGGUGAAAUAGGAGCACUUAGGAAGCACUGCAAUGAAUUUACUGCUUAUUCAGCAUAUUGAUAGAGUCUUCUCUAAAACAACAAAAAGUGUUGACAGCAAACUGAAGAUCUUAAAGAAUGUGUGUGUCCCACCCCUGCAGUACUUCAGCAUUCUGAGGUAACAAGACAGUUGGCUUACUGCAUCUUAGAAAGGCUUAUUGAUUUUGUUAUUGCUACAACUAUCAUGGAAGCAGAGGCAGCAAUUUCUCAAGCCUAGUUCCAAAAGGAUUAAACCUGACAAAGAUUUAU
rnacentral:lncRNA from 1 species